rnacentral:rRNA from 1 species
GAGAGUUUGAUCCUGGCUCAGGAUGAACGCUGGCGGCGUGCUUAACACAUGCAAGUCGAGCGAAACACUUAGAUCUGAUUUCUUCGGAAUGAACAACUUUGUGAUUGAGCGGCGGACGGGUGAGUAACGCGUGGAUAACCUACCUCAUACAGGGGGAUAACAGUUAGAAAUGACUGCUAAUACCGCAUAAGACCGCGGCACCGCAUGGUGCAGUGGUAAAAACUCCGGUGGUAUGAGAUGGAUCCGCGUCUGAUUAGCUAGUUGGUGAGGUAAUGGCCCACCAAGGCGAUGAUCAGUAGCCGACCUGAGAGGGUGAUCGGCCACAUUGGGACUGAGACACGGCCCAAACUCCUACGGGAGGCAGCAGUGGGGAAUAUUGCACAAUGGGGGAAACCCUGAUGCAGCGACGCCGCGUGAAGGAUGAAGUAUUUCGGUAUGUAAACUUCUAUCAGCAGGGAAGAAAAUGACGGUACCUGACUAAGAAGCCCCGGCUAACUACG